UACGAAGGGGGCGAGCGUUGUUCGGAAUUACUGGGCGUAAAGCGUGUGUAGGUGGCUUGAUAAGUCUGAUGUGAAAGCCCAGGGCUCAACCUUGGAACUGCAUUGGAUACUAUCAGGCUAGAGUGGUGGAGAGGAUAGUAGAAUUCCUAGUGUAGAGGUGAAAUUCGUAGAUAUUAGGAGGAAUACCAGUGGCGAAGGCGGCUAUCUGGACACACACUGACACUGAGACACGAUAGCGUGGGGGAGCAAACAGG
rnacentral:rRNA from 1 species